rnacentral:tRNA from 1 species
GGCUGGAUAGCUCAGUUGGUAGAGCACCAGAACGGCAAUCUGGAGGUCGCAGGUUCAAGCCCUGCUCCAGCCA